rnacentral:rRNA from 1 species
AUGAGCGCGCGGCCGCCGCCGGCCGGAUCUCCUUGCUCCGGCCACUCCCACGACUGCCGCUCCGGGAUCCAGCCACCUCGCCGCCUGCUCCCUCCUUCCCUCCCACAAUCAGGUGUGGGAGCUGCGCCCUGGCGACCUCGCGCCGUCCCUCCCGUCUUCAGCGGCGGCGGUCCGUCGGCCACCACUUCGCCGGUCCGAGCUCCGGCCAGCAUGCUGCGGUGGCUUCCUGCUGAGAUGCCUUCUGGCUGCACUCCGUGCGUCGUCCUGCAGCCGCCCUCGUCCGCUGCUCGAUCCAAUCUGGAUCGGGAGUUCUCGUCCCCGCCGCCGCAAUCCGCGAUGGGCCACUCCGUCCAGAUCGGUGGCGAGUCCGAGAAGGUGCCAGAGCUGUCCCAAGGCAUGCUGGCUGCGCCCCUGCCGGCGUCCGCACGGCUCCCCUUGGAGGACCUUGCUGCCGCGAUCCGCGUCGCCGAAGACCUGAAGGGGAUGAGUUCUCCCAUCACCAGCCACGACGCGCCGGACCCCGUUCCUGGCUUGAGGCCGCCGUCUCAAGCUUCUAGGACGCUCGGUGCUUCUUCGGCCUCUGACCAACCCCGGUUGCUCCUUCCCGUGGGCAUGGGCAACGGCUUGGAGCUUCCAGCGCCUCCUUCGGUUCUUGGCUCGGGGCGGCCACAGCCUGAGUCAUGGUCCCCGCUGGACGCCGACGGCGACGAUGACACCAAUGAAGAGGAGUUGGCCCCUAUGACACCGCUUGCUACCAAGGCAUCGGCCCCGGUCGCUGCCCAGCCGAGUGUGGGAUGUGUAACAGAGGCGUGCGGGGGAUGGAAAGAGGUGUUGCCCCGGCAUGGUCCGCGUAGCCCAAUGUUGCCAGCCCCGACAAUGGCUCCUCGUCCCAUCCCUGCCUGGAUGCAUGGCCGGUGCUGCAGAUGCCUCGUUCGUGGGCACCGUGCGGCUGAGUGUAGAGACCCGUUUCGGUGCUCCCGUUGCUUGGAGAACGGUCACCGUGCACGUGGAUGUCGUAAUCCAUGGCGUCCUCUAAGCUCGCUGUCAUGCCUUGCCGUGCAACCAAUUCUGGGUAUCGUGCAUCGUCAUGCUACAGCUUCAUGUGAGAGUUCAAUGAAAUCCGCACUACCAUCCAAGGCGUUUCGUCAUGGGUCUUGGGCGUCUGUCGUCUCUGCUACCGGUGGCUCGGCCACCCAGCCUGAUGUGCAGUCUGUUCUGGCUGAUCAAAUCGCGCAGCUGCAAGGUUGGAUGACGUGGGUUGGGAGCUUUCCAGAGAGGGCGGAGGCUGCUCUAGACAAGCUCUCCUUAGGGCCGGCUAUGUUGUCAACCAGUCUGAUGUCAUGCCCUCUGAUGUCAUGCCCUCCUGGUGUGGCCGGUGCUGCCACCAUGGAGGAAGGAAGCCAAGAGCUAUAUGGAUGUUUCUCUCCUCGUGUUGGGGACAAUGCAUCGUCACUAUCGACCUUGUCUCCUGUGCUGCCUACCAUUGAGGGCGAGCCCAGCGCCAUGCUCGAGUCUCCGGUUCUACAGAUCAUGCCCGACCUACAGGAGCUAUGUCUGAGCCCUGUUUUGCCUUUGUCUGUGGAGCGCUUGGAGGCGGACUCAUUAGUGAUCUUGUGUGAGGGGCAUGUUUCGCCUCUGUCACGUGAGCAAGUGGAGGUGCCUGAGGCAAUUGUGUCAGUGGUUCCUGUGGGCGAUGUUGUCGUCUCAGUGGUUUCUGUGACUGAUGAUGUUGAGGCGGUCGGUAUGUUAGCGUCUGACCCUUUGGAGCCCAGCCAGUCGCUCGCCUUUGUGGACGGCGGAUGUUCCGGUCACCAACUCACACGUGACCGUUGGGCACGUGAUGUCUGUGCGUGA